ensembl:lncRNA
UUUUUUUUUUUUUUUUUUUAAGGACAAAGUCUCUAUAGUCUCUAUCACCCAGGCAGGAGUGCAGUGGCACAAUCUUAGCUCACUGUAGCCUGUGCCUCCAAGGUUCAAGCAAUCCUUUUGUGUCUGGAAUUGGUGGGUUCUUAGUCUCACUGACUUCAAGAAUGAAGCUGCAGAUGCUCGCGGUGUUACAGUUCUUAAAGAUUGUGUGUCCAGAGUUUGUUCCCUCUGAUGUUCGGACAUGUUCGGAGUUUCUUCCGUCUGGUGGGUUCGUGCGUGGUCUGGUUGGUCUCAGGAGUGAAGCUGCAUACCUUUGGGGUGAGUGUUAUAGCUCAUAAACACAGUGCGGACCCAAAGAGUGAGCAGCAGCAAGAUUUAUUGCAAAGAGCGAAAGAACAAAUUUUCCACAUUGUGUAAAGAUACCAGGUUGCAGCUGCUAGCUGGGGCAGUCAGCUUUUAUUUCCUUAUCUGACCCCACCCAUAUCCUGCUGAUUGGUCCAUUUUACAGAGAGCUGAUUGGUCCAUUUUGACAGGGUGCUGAUUGGCGUGUUUACAAAUCUUUAGCUAGACACAGAGUGCUGAUUGGUGCAUUUAUAAACCUUGAGCUAGACACAAAGUGCUGAUUGGUGCAUUUACAAUCCUUUAGCUAGACACAGCAAGCUAGACGAAAAGUUCUCCAAGUCCCCACUAGAUUAGCUGGACACAGAGCACUGAUUGGUGCAUUUACAAACCUUGAGCUAGACCCAGAGUGCUGAUUCCGGUGCAUUUACAAUCCUCUAGCUAGACAUAAAACUUUCCAAGUCCCCACCAGACUCAGUAGCCUAGCUGACUUCACCUGGUGGAUCUCACACCAGGGCCAGGGGCAGAGCUGCCCGCCAGUUCUGCGCCACAAGCCUGCACUCCUCAGACCUUGGGUGGUGGAUGAGACCCUGUGCCCAGGAGCAGGGGGCAGCGCCCAUCAGGGAGCCUCAGGCCACGUGGGAGCCCACUGGUGCGCGGGUGUGGGGCUUGGGCAUGGUAGGCUGCAGGUCCCCAGUCCUGCCCUGUGGGGAGGUGGCUGAGACCUGGCAAGAACCGAGGUCGGUGUGGGCCUCUGGCAGUGCUGGGGGACCCAGUGCACCCUCAGCAGCUGCUGGCCCGGGUGCUAAGCCCUUCACUGCCCGGGCCCAUGGUGCUGGCCUUCCGCUCGGAGUCCGGGCCCGCCAAGCCCACGCCCACUGAGAACUCGCUGGCCCGCAUCCCGGUUCCCGCCAUGCCCUCCCUCCGCACCUCCUCACAAGCAGAAGGAGCCGGCUCCGGCCUGGCCAGCCCAGAGAGGGGCUCCCACAGUGCAGCGGGGGGCUGAAGGGCUCAUCAAGUGCAGCCAGAAUGGACGCAGAGGCCAAGUAGGCACCGAGAGCAAGCGAGGGCUGCUAGCAUGUUGUCUCCUCUCACCCUCACCUCAGCCUGCCAAGAUGCUGGGACUACAGAAGUGUGCCACCACACUAGGCUUAUUUAUUUAUUUAAUUUAUUUCUGAGACAGAGUCUGACUCUGUCGCCCAGGCUGGAGUGCAGGUGAUCCACCUGCCUUGGCCUCCUGAAGUGUUGGGAUUACAGGCGUGAACCACCACACCUGGCCAAUAACAUACUUUUUUUUUUUUUGAGACGGAGUCUCGCUCUGUCGCCCAGACUGGAGUGCAGUGGCCAGAUCUCAGCUCACUGCAAGCUCCGCCUCCCGGGUCUACGCCAUUCUCCUGCCUCAGCCUCCCGAGUAGCUGGGACUCCAGGCGCCCACC